UUGCUGGGUGGAUUAGUGGCGAACGGGUGAGUAACACGUGAGUAACCUGCCCCUGACUCUGGGAUAAGCGUUGGAAACGACGUCUAAUACUGGAUACGACUGCCGGCCGCAUGGUCUGGUGGUGGAAAGAUUUUUUGGUUGGGGAUGGACUCGCGGCCUAUCAGCUUGUUGGUGAGGUAAUGGCUCACCAAGGCGACGACGGGUAGCCGGCCUGAGAGGGUGACCGGCCACACUGGGACUGAGACACGGCCCAGACUCCUACGGGAGGCAGCAGUGGGGAAUAUUGCACAAUGGGCGAAAGCCUGAUGCAGCAACGCCGCGUGAGGGAUGACGGCCUUCGGGUUGUAAACCUCUUUUAGUAGGGAAGAAGCGAAAGUGACGGUACCUGCAGAAAAAGCACCGGCUAACUACGUGCCAGCAGCCGCGGUAAUACGUAGGGUGCAAGCGUUGUCCGGAAUUAUUGGGCGUAAAGAGCUCGUAGGCGGUUUGUCGCGUCUGCUGUGAAAUCCCGAGGCUCAACCUCGGGCUUGCAGUGGGUACGGGCAGACUAGAGUGCGGUAGGGGAGAUUGGAAUUCCUGGUGUAGCGGUGGAAUGCGCAGAUAUCAGGAGGAACACCGAUGGCGAAGGCAGAUCUCUGGGCCGUAACUGAC
rnacentral:rRNA from 1 species